ACCUAGACAGGCGGGCUUCGAUCCCACAACCUCCUAGUUAACAGCUAGGCGCCCCAACCAACAGGCUUCCGUCUA
rnacentral:tRNA from 1 species